rnacentral:rRNA from 1 species
AGUGAACGCUGGCGGUAGGCCUAACACAUGCAAGUCGAACGGCAGCACAGUAAGAGCUUGCUCUUACGGGUGGCGAGUGGCGGACGGGUGAGGAAUACAUCGGAAUCUACUUUUUCGUGGGGGAUAACGUAGGGAAACUUACGCUAAUACCGCAUACGACCUACGGGUGAAAGCAGGGGAUCUUCGGACCUUGCGCGAUUGAAUGAGCCGAUGUCGGAUUAGCUAGUUGGCGGGGUAAAGGCCCACCAAGGCGACGAUCCGUAGCUGGUCUGAGAGGAUGAUCAGCCACACUGGAACUGAGACACGGCCCAGACUCCUACGGGAGGCAGCAGUGGGGAAUAUUGGACAAUGGGCGCAGGCCUGAUCCAGCCAUACCGCGUGGGUGAAGAAGGCCUUCGGGUUGUAAAGCCCUUUUGUUGGGAAAGAAAAGCAGCAGGUUAAUACCCCGCUGUUCUGACGGUACCCAAAGAAUAAGCACCGGCUAACUUCGUG